GACGAACGCUGGCGGCGUGCUUAACACAUGCAAGUCGAACGGAAAGGCCCUGCUUGUUUGGUGUUCUCGAGUGGCAAACGUGAGAGACACGCGGGUGUAAUCUCCCCUAGACUUUGGUAUGACUUGGGGAAACUGUGUCAUAUCCCGUAUGGGAGCUGCUGCGGCUUGGUUGGGGUUGGAAAGUUUCGGCGGUUGGGGAUGCACUCGCGGCUUAUCAGCUUGUUGGUGGGGUAGUGGCUUACCAAGGCUUUGACGGGUAGCCGGCCUGAGAGGGUGACCGGCCACAUUGGGACUGAGAUACGGCCCAGACUCCUACGGGAGGCAGCAGUGGGGAAUAUUGCACAAUGGGCGGAAGCCUGAUGCAGCAACGCCGCGUGGGGGAUGACGGCCUUCGGGUUGUAAACCGCUUUCGCCUGUGACGAAGCGUGAGUGACGGUAAUGGGAAAAGAAGCACCGGCUAACUACGUG
rnacentral:rRNA from 1 species